AGACCUCAGAUCAGGCAGGAUUACCCGCUGAACUUAAGCAUAUCAAUAAGCGGAGGAAAAGAAACUAACAAGGAUUCCCCUAGUAACGGCGAGUGAAGCGGGAAGAGCUCAAAUUUGUAAUCUGGCCCUUUCAGGGUCCGAGUUGUAAUCUCGAGAAGUGUUUUCCGCGCCGGACUGCAUACAAGUCUGUUGGAAUACAGCGUCAUAGUGGUGAGAGCCCCGUAACUGAUGCAGAUGCCCGGUGCUUUGUGAUACACUUUCGAAGAGUCGAGUUGUUUGGGAAUGCAGCUCAAAUUGGGUGGUAAAUUCCAUCUAAAGCUAAAUAUUGGCGAGAGACCGAUAGCGAACAAGUACCGUGAGGGAAAGAUGAAAAGCACUUUGGAAAGAGAGUUAACAGUACGUGAAAUUGUUGGAAGGGAAACGCUUGAAGUCAGACUUGCUAUUCGGAAUUCAGCCGCAAGGUGUACUUUUCGAUUUGCAGGCCAGCAUCAGUUUUUGGGGGUGGAAAAGGGUGGAGAGAAGGUAGCAACCUCGGUUGUGUUAUAGCUCUUUACUGGAUUCAUCUUUGGGGACUGAGGAUCGCAGUGCGCAAUUCAUUUUGCAAACCUUUCGAGGUUUUCGUACUUAGGAUGCUGGUGGAAUGGCUUUAAACGACCCGUCUUGUAAACACGGACCAAGGAGUCUAACAUGCUUGCGAGUGUUUGGGUGUCAAACCCGAACGCGCAAUGAAAGUGAAUGGAGGUGGGAUCCGCAAGGUGCACCAUCGACCGAUCUGGAUUUUCUAAGAUGGAUUUGAGUAAGAGCAAUUAUGUUGGG
rnacentral:ncRNA from 1 species